rnacentral:rRNA from 1 species
UUUGAUCAUGGCUCGAUUGAACGCUGGGGCAGGCCUAACACAUGCAAGUCGAGCGGUAGCACAGAGAGUUGCUCUCGGUGACGAGCGGCGGACGGGUGAGUAAUGUCUGGGAAACUGCCUGAUGGAGGGGGAUAACUACUGGAAACGGUAGCUAAUACCGCAUAAUGUCGCAAGACCAAAGUGGGGGACCUUCGGGCCUCAUGCCAUCAGAUGUGCCCAGAUGGGAUUAGCUAGUAGGUGGGGUAACGGCUCACCUAGGGACGAUCCCUAGCUGGUCUGAGAGGAUGACCAGCCACACUGGAACUGAGACACGGUCCAGACUCCUACGGGAGGCAGCAGUGGGGAAUAUUGCACAAUGGGCGCAAGCCUGAUGCAGCCAUGCCGCGUGUGUGAAGAAGGCCUUCGGGUUGUAAAGCACUUUCAGCGGGAGGAAGGCGGUGAGGUUAAUAACCUCAUCGAUUGACGUUACCCGCAGAAGAAGCACCGGCUAACUCCGUGCCAGCAGCCGCGGUAAUACGGAGGGUGCAAGCGUUAAUCGGAAUUACUGGGCGUAAAGCGCACGCAGGCGGUCUGUCAAGUCGGAUGUGAAAUCCCCGGGCUCAACCUGGGAACUGCAUUCGAAACUGGCAGGCUAGAGUCUUGUAGAGGGGUAGAAUUCCAGGUGUAGCGGUGAAAUGCGUAGAGAUCUGGAGGAAUACCGGUGGCGAAGGCGGCCCCUGGACAAGACUGACGCUCAGGUGCGAAAGCGUGGGAGCAAACAGGAUUAGAUACCCUGGUAGUCCACGCCGUAAACGAUGUCGAUUUGGAGGUUGUGCCCUUGAGGCGUGGCUUCCGGAGCUAACGCGUUAAAUCGACCGCCUGGGGGAGUACGGCCGCAAGGUUAAAACUCAAAUGAAUUGACGGGGGCCCGCACAAGCGGUGGAGCAUGUGGUUUAAUUCGAUGCAACGCGAAGAACCUUACCUGGUCUUGACAUCCACAGAACUUUCCAGAGAUGGAUUGGUGCCUUCGGGAACUGGAGACAGGUGCUGCAUGGCUGUCGUCAGCUCGUGUUGUGAAAUGUUGGGUUAAGUCCCGCAACGAGCGCAGUGGGGAUGACGUCAAGUCAUCAUGGCCCUUACGACCAGGGCUACACACGUGCUACAAUGGCAUAUACAAAGAAGCGACUCGCGAGAGCAAGCGGACCUCAUAAAGUAUGUCGUAGUCCGGAUUGGAGUCUGCAACUCGACUCAUGAAGUCGGAAUCGCUAGUAAUCGUAGAUCAGAAUGCUACGGUGAAUACGUUCCCGGGCCUUGUACACACCGCCCGCACACCAUGGGAGUGGGUUGCAAAAGAAGUAGGUAGCUUAACCUUCGGGAGGGCGCUUACCACUUUGUGAUUCAUGACUGGGGUGAAGUCGUAACAAGGUAACCGUAGC